rnacentral:lncRNA from 1 species
AAAAAAAGGAAAGAAAAGAGAAAAGCAAUGACAAAAAAAAAAAAAAAAAAAGCCAAGACAAUGUUCCUUGAUUUAAAAAAAAAAAGAAAAGAAAAAAGAAAGAAAAGAAAAAAAUUAAAAUAGACCAUUCCAGAUGGUGAUCUACCCUUCCCCCCAAUUAUCACAAAAGGAGCUAUAAUCACUAACUUAUUCUUAAUAAUAAUGGUUACUGGUACCCUUACAAUAAUGUACAAUCCAAUGUUUAAAAAUUAUACCACUUGAGUUUGGUUUGAUCCUAUAAAUUUUCAACAAAUGUCUUAAAAUUUAAAAGCAGGCUGAUUAGUUUGGAACCAGACUGCAAGUAGAGCUAACAUUUGGUGAAUAAGAAAACAUCACAUUACAUUUUGGAUGUAUGAAAGAAAACUUGACCAUUUGAAGAUAUAUGAAUAAAGAAAUGUACUAUAGAUACUACUUUAGGAAAACACUGUUUGUCGUGAAAGGUGCCAAAUUGGCAGAGGCUCACGUUUCUUCUCUUUACACCAAACAGCAGAGAGAGAUCAUCAUUGCCUGAAUUUAGCUUUGUGACUGCAAGAGCAAGACCAGUUCCUGUCUGGAGACGACUGUUACAAUAAUAUCAUCCUAUUAUUUUAUGUUCACUCUUUAUCAAUUUGAACAGAUGUUUACAUGUACUAUAAUUAGCAUUUUAUCUCUACAGUUCUCUAAGAGUACAUCUGAGUCCAAAGUGUAUCUGAAUGUGUGCUCUGACCUUAUUCUUAAAUGUUUUCUCCCCGUACUUUAUAGCCAUUUAUUUUUUAAACACCUUAAGAAGGAACGAAAAAGUUCUCUUGGAUGACGUAUAUUCAAGUCUGAGCCAAAUUGAGGAUUGUGUCUAGGAAAUCUGUAAAGCCAUACUACUGUGUUCAUUAGCAUGAGCAAUUUAAAAUGAAAAUGAAUUAAAAAGUUAAACAUGAGUUUGGUUUUAAUUUUGGGGGGAUCUUAAGAUAUAUUUCUGGGAGUAGGA